ACGAAGUAGCAAUACUUAGUGGCAGACGGGUGAGUAACAUGUAGGUAUCUGCCCUUUGGCCUGGAAUAACACGAGGAAACUUGUGCUAAUACUGGAUAAGCCUUUACGGAGAAAGCUUUAUGCACCAUUGGAUGAGCCUGCACUUGAUUAGUUUGUUGGUAGGGUAAUGGCCUACCAAGACUGUGAUCAAUAGCUGAUUUGAGAGGAUGAUCAGCCACAUUGGGACUGAGACACGGCCCAAACUCCUACGGGAGGCAGCAGUGGGGAAUCUUGCACAAUGGAGGAAACUCUGAUGCAGCGAUGCCGCGUGAGUGAAGAAGGCCUUUGGGUUGUAAAGCUCUUUCGUCGGGGAAGAAAAUGACUGUACCCGAAUAAGAAGGUCCGGCUAACUUCGUGCCAGCAGCCGCGGUAAUACGAAGGGACCUAGCGUAGUUCGGAAUUACUGGGCUUAAAGAGUUCGUAGGUGGUUGAAAAAGUUGGUGGUGAAAUCCCAGAGCUUAACUCUGGAACUGCCAUCAAAACUUUUCAGCUAGAGUAUGAUAGAGGGAAGCAGAAUUUCUAGUGUAGAGGUGAAAUUCGUAGAUAUUACAAAGAAUACCAAUUGCGAAGGCAGCUUCCUGGAUCAUUACUGACACUGAGGAACGAAAGCAUGGGUAGCGAACAGGAUUACAUACCCUCGUAGUCCAUGCCGUAA
rnacentral:rRNA from 1 species